rnacentral:rRNA from 1 species
GGGGGGGGGGGGGGGGGGGCGGGGCGCGUGCGGGUCGGGGGGGGGGGGCCGGUGGGGGGGGCACGGGGGGCGGACGGGGGGGUAACACGUGGGUGACCUGCCCUCCUCUCUGGGCUAAGAGUCGGAAACGGUUGCUAAUACUGGAGAGGCGCUUGCAAGGCAUCGUGGGGGUUGGAAAGAUUUUUUGUGGUUGUGGAUGGACUAGCGGCCUAGCAGCUAGUUGGUGACGUAACGGCUCACCAAGGAUACGACGCGUAGACUGGCUGAGAGGGCGAGCGGCCACACUGGAACUGAGACACGGUCCAGACUCCUGCGGGAGGCAGCAGUAGGGAAUCUGGCGGAAGGGGCGAAAGCUUGACGGAGCAACGCCGCGUGAGGGAUGAAGGUCUUCGGAUCGUAAAACUCUGUUAUGAGGGAAGAACAAAUGUGUAAGUAACUAUGCACGUCUUGACGGUACCUAAUCAGAAAGCCACGGCUAACUACGUG